rnacentral:rRNA from 1 species
GAUGAACGCUGGCGGCGUGCCUAAUACAUGCAAGUCGAGCGAACAGACGAGGAGCUUGCUCCUUUGACGUUAGCGGCGGACGGGUGAGUAACACGUGGGUAACCUACCUAUAAGACUGGGAUAACUUCGGGAAACCGGAGCUAAUACCGGAUAAUAUUUCGAACCGCAUGGUUCGAUAGUGAAAGAUGGCUUUGCUAUCACUUAUAGAUGGACCUGCGCCGUAUUAGCUAGUUGGUAAGGUAACGGCUUACCAAGGCAACGAUACGUGGCCGACCUGAGAGGGUGAUCGGCCACACUGGAACUGAGACACGGUCCAGACUCCUACGGGAGGCAGCAGUAGGGAAUCUUCCGCAAUGGGCGAAAGCCUGACGGAGCAACGCCGCGUGAGUGAUGAAGGUCUUCGGAUCGUAAAACUCUGUUAUUAGGGAAGAACAAACGUGUAAGUAACUGUGCACGUCUUGACGGUACCUAAUCAGAAAGCCACGGCUAACUACGUG